CACGUAGGGGGCGAGCGUUGUCCGGAUUUAUUGGGCGUAAAGAGCUCGUAGGUGGCUCGGUAAGUCGGGUGUGAAAUUUCGAGGCUCAACCUCGAAACGCCACCUGAUACUGCCGUGGCUUGAGUCCGGUAGGGGAGCGUGGAAUUCCUGGUGUAGCGGUGAAAUGCGCAGAUAUCAGGAAGAACACCAAUGGCGAAGGCAGUUCUCUGGGACGGUACUGACGCUGAGACGCGAAAGCGUGGGGAGCGAACAGG
rnacentral:rRNA from 1 species